rnacentral:rRNA from 1 species
UUCGCAAUGCCCGAAAGGGUGACGAAGCGACGCCGCGUGUGGGAAGAAGGCCUUCGGGUUGUAAACCACUGUCGGGAGUUAGGAAAUGCAGGUGCGUUAAUAGCGCACUUGCUUGACUAAGGCUCCAGAGGAAGCCACGGCUAACUCUGUGCCAGCAGCCGCGGUAAUACAGAGGCGGCAAGCGUUGUUCGGAAUUAUUGGGCGUAAAGAGCACGUAGGCGGCUGUGUAAGUCGGUUGUGAAAGCCUUCCGCUCAACGGAAGAACGGCAUCCGAUACUGCAUGGCUUGAGUGUGGGAGGGGAGAGUGGAACUUCUGGUGGAGCGGUGAAAUGCGUAGAUAUCAGAAGGAACACCGGCGGCGAAGGCGACUCUCUGGUCCAUAACUGACGCUGAGUGUGCGAAAGCUAGGGGAGCAAACGGGAUUAGAUACCCCGGUAGUCCUAGCCGUAAACGAUGGGCACUAAGUAGAGGGGUUUU